rnacentral:lncRNA from 1 species
CGCCUAAAAAGAGAACUAAAGCCGCAGCCUCCUCUUCUAGCUCAUUUGACAGGAGCAAAUUCAUUAGUGCCGAGGCCGCUGAACGUUAUAAUAGCCUGGUGGUACACAAGACCUGUAUUCCUGAACGUGGUUUUGACAAUUAUAUGACAGAGCCAAUAGGUCGGCGGAAUUGGGAGGUGUUUGCUCGGCAACCACGAUCGGCGCUAAUUCCGGUUGUUAGAGAGUUCUACGCCAAUGCGAAGGAGCAUCGUGAUUUUCAAGUGUUUGUGCGGGGUAAAUGGAUACCAUUUGAUAGAACCUCCAUCAACAGGUUUUAUCAUUUGCAGGAUAUUGAAAAUGACGAGUACUCAAGACUUCGUGACGAGGGUGUUGAUCCUGAUGAGGUUAUUCAAGCCUUAACUACAACGGGCACAACAUGGAAACGUUCGGAGACUGAUGUAAUUAACUUUCCUGCUUCUGGUAUGACUUCGGGUUGUAAGGCUUGGCACCACCUCAUUUCUGGUAAACUUAUUCCCAGUAGCAAUUUAAGUGAAGUAACAAAGGAACGGGCGACCCUCAAUUAUGCCAUUCAGUGCCGCCUAUCCAUAGAUGUUGGUAAAGUUAUUCACAACAACAUCCUACAUACUUUGUGAGGAUCGACUACCGGUGGUCUAGGGCACCCUUCAUUGAUCUAUGAGCUUUGCUUAGCAGGUGGUGUCGUCACAUACCCGACUGAGGAGGUUGUGCACCCCAAACCGGCUAUCACACGAGCGCGUACUUGGAAGUUCUUACGCCGCUCCGAAUCCACCAGUGCUCCACACCCCCCUCGGAGCGAACAGCCACCCCGUUCACGCCGACAGACACCAGCUAGUGAUCCCACUUCUGCCCUUGCCGCUCAGCUUCAUGACAUGCAAUUGCAAAUGAAUUUGAUGCAAAACACCUUGUGCGAGCAAUUCCAUUAUCAGCAUGAGUUUAAUGCGGCUUUGGCUUCGAUGUACCCUGAUCGAACAUUUCCUCAGCCACCUCUCCUACCUGAUCACGCUGCAAAUCCUAUUCCAAAUACCCAAGACGACGAUGGCGAGGACGACGAUUAGUCGUCGUCCGUCAGGUACAUCCCCUCCCCAUUUUGUUUCUAUUUCACAUUGAGGACAAUGUUUUCGUUAAGUUUGGGGGAGUGUGAAUAAUUUUGCUUACAUUGUUGAUUUCCUCGAAUGCUUUGUGUGAUUUGCUUGUUUGAAAAAAAAAAAUAAUAAAUAAAUAAAUAAAAAAAUUCGUUUCUUUUUGCAUGCUUGUGUGUGUUAGAUAACCUUGCCGGUAUUGAUAUGUGUAAUUGAGAACAUGCGUUGAUUUAUGAAUUGUGGACGAGUUAUCUGUUUGAGUUAGAUUUUUGCUUAUUCAUGUGAAAUGGAAAUCAAUUUUUGCACGUGAGUUGAUUGUAGCGUUGUACAUGAGGAGGUUGAUUCACGCUUAUAGGUUGAAUUAGAGAACUUAGAUGCUAAACCCAAACAACCAUUAAAUAUCACAAUACCCUUAACCAAAUUCAGGAUGUUUGGAUGAUUGCACUGUUGUAGGAAAACUUGAAGAUAAAUGUGGAUUUCGUGUGUGUUAAUGUUUGUGUGGACUGUCUGAGACUAAUAGGAUGAAAAUUGGGUGAAAACCUUAAGUUAGAGGUCAAUUUUCUAGGAUAGGUGUUUAAUAAGGGGCAUUGCACUAAUCACCGCAAAAAAAAAAAAAAA